rnacentral:lncRNA from 1 species
GCAUCACAGAUACUGUAUUACCUGGGGUAGCAAAGUGUCGGUCACUCCUCCUGGCAUUUCAGGAAUCCUCAUCCACGAAGGAGACAGCAACCCCCACCGAUAACAAAGCUAAGGAAGUCAAACGUCGGUGUGGGAUUCUGUGAAGCAGCAAUGGCUGGACUCCUCGGGAUGCCCCCCCUCAUAGUAUUUCCAGCUAAACUGGCAGAGAUCAAAGGAGCUGGAAUUAAUUCAGUGAAGCAGAAUGAAUGCAAGUGAGAAGAUCAAGAUGAAGAUCAACAGCCAAACAAAUAUCAGAAGUAUUGUGAGAGAGACAAAAGUGAAAACAUCCAUUCUGAUGGAAAGAAAAAUGUUGGACACACAAGAAUAAAUGACAAAGGAAAGGAAAAAAUGUAGAGCUGAACUCUUCAAUAUAACCAGUAGCUUUUUAUGGCUAUUGAACACUUGAAACAUGGAGCAUUUAAGAUGAGCCAUAAUGUAAAGAUGUGCUGAAUUUAAAUGCCUCAUUAAUAAAUUUCUCAACAAUUUUAUAUUGAUUGCA